rnacentral:rRNA from 1 species
UCUUUUCCUUUUUUUUCAGCCGCCGCGGUAAUACGUAUGGUGCAAGCGUUAUCCGGAUUUACUGGGUGUAAAGGGAGCGUAGACGGAUGGGCAAGUCUGAUGUGAAAACCCGGGGCUCAACCCCGGGACUGCAUUGGAAACUGUUCAUCUAGAGUGCUGGAGAGGUAAGUGGAAUUCCUAGUGUAGCGGUGAAAUGCGUAGAUAUUAGGAGGAACACCAGUGGCGAAGGCGGCUUACUGGACAGUAACUGACGUUGAGGCUCGAAAGCGUGGGGAGCAAACAGG